AGUGAACGCUGGCGGUAGGCCUAACACAUGCAAGUCGAACGGCAGCACAGUAAGAGCUUGCUCUUACGGGUGGCGAGUGGCGGACGGGUGAGGAAUACAUCGGAAUCUACUUUUUCGUGGGGGAUAACGUAGGGAAACUUACGCUAAUACCGCAUACGACCUACGGGUGAAAGCGGGGGAUCUUCGGACCUUGCGCGAUUGAAUGAGCCGAUGUCGGAUUAGCUAGUUGGCGGGGUAAAGGCCCACCAAGGCGACGAUCCGUAGCUGGUCUGAGAGGAUGAUCAGCCACACUGGAACUGAGACACGGUCCAGACUCCUACGGGAGGCAGCAGUGGGGAAUAUUGGACAAAGGGCGCAAGCCUGAUCCAGCCAUACCGCGUGGGUGAAGAAGGCCUUCGGGUUGUAAAGCCCUUUUGUUGGGAAAGAAAAGCAGCAGGUUAAUACCCCGCUGCUCUGACGGUACCCAAAGAAUAAGCACCGGCUAACUUCGUG
rnacentral:rRNA from 1 species